rnacentral:rRNA from 1 species
GUAAUGGCUCACCAAGGCGACNAUCCGUAACUGGUCUGANAGGAUGAUCAGUCNCNCUGGAACNNNANNACGGUCCAGACUCCUACGGGAGGCAGCAGUGGGGAAUAUUGGACAAUGGGCGAAAGCCUGAUCCAGCCAUGCCGCGUGUGUGAAGAAGGUCUUCGGAUUGUAAAGCACUUUAAGUUGGGAGGAAGGGCAUUAACCUAAUACGUUAGUGUUUUGACGUUACCGACAGAAUAAGCACCGGCUAACUUCGUGCCAGCAGCCGCGGUAAUACGAAGGGUGCAAGCGUUAAUCGGAAUUACUGGGCGUAAAGCGCGCGUAGGUGGUUCGUUAAGUUGGAUGUGAAAGCCCCGGGCUCAACCUGGGAACUGCAUCCAAAACUGGCGAGCUAGAGUACGGUAGAGGGUGGUGGAAUUUCCUGUGUAGCGGUGAAAUGCGUAGAUAUAGGAAGGAACACCAGUGGCGAANGCGACCACCUGGACUGAUACUGACACUGANGUGCGAAAGCGUGGGGAGCAAACAGGAUUAGAUACCCUGGUAGUCCACNCCGUAAAGAUGUCAACUAGCCGUUGGGUUCCUUGANAACUUANUGNCGCANCUNACGCAUUAAGUUGACCNNCUGGGGAGUACGGNCGCNNNGNUAAAACUCANUGNAUUGACNGGGGCCCGCNCAANCGGUGGANCAUGNGGUUUAAUU